CAAUGCCAUGUCCUUGGACUUAGUUACUCUGUCGAUAACCAAUGCCACUGUUGUGCAAACAUCAGAUCAUACUUUAUUUAUUUUAUGUGUUACAAUUUUGUUUGUUGUUUACCAUUAUUAUUAUACACAUCAGAGCAAUAUUCUUUUAUGGUUAGGACUUGGCUGUUGUUUGGAAGAUAGCACUCUUUUAUUAAGUUAUUUUUUAUACAUUUGAUAACAUCAUUAGAUUACAUCAUCAAAAUUUACUGGUUAUGUAAUUAUAAUCAAUGUUUAGGGGCAACAUGCCGUUUUUGACUUGUCUUUGAUGUUAAUUCAAAGUUAAACAUGCCGGUUUUGUUAGGUGAGAUUGAAAGUACAAGCUAAUGAUUCUAUGAUUAGAUUAACUAAACCUACUUGUCUUCUCCUUCUUUUAUGUUUCAUGUUUUUAUCUUCUUUAAUGUAAUGAUUGUUUGGAAAAUCCCCAAUGCUUAAUGCAGGUAUGUCUUUUGGUUUUUUAAUCUUAAGAUUAGGGUUUUUGCCAGAUCUGAUGAUUGUUUUUCAUGUCAAAAUUUGAUCUUUUUUGCAAGGGGCUUUGUGGGACUGGAUUGAGUUGUUGUUGGACUGUGGGAUUUUUUUUUUUGGGAAAAAGAAAAUUAGGUUCAUCAUCUGAGGCACUACAUGCUGAGGUUAGAGAUUUGCAUCAAACUCUUAGUCAAGUCCAAGAUAGUGAGGAGAGGUUUCAACAGACACUUGGCCAAGUACAAGAUAAUAACAAGGAGCUUCAACAAAAUUUGCUUGAAAUGAAAGAGAGACCACACAGGACUCACAACCAUUUACUGGCAAUCAUAAUGUUGACUUAUAAUUGUAUUUGUCGUAUACUUAUUAUUUUGUGUUGAACAUAUAUACUUAAACAUUUAUUUUUGUAUGAAUUGAUGAGUUUAUCUUA